rnacentral:lncRNA from 1 species
AGAAAAUGUCCGAACUUAUGAAUGUCCUCAUCUUCCAUCAGAGUCAGGAUGGGAUUCGGUUUGUUUGUUUCUUUCUUUUUUUAUUCUUGUGUGUGCUGCUCCCCGUGACUGUAUGUGCUUGCGGGUGUGUGGAUGGACAUGCACAUGGCUAUGUAUACCCCUUUGUGUUCCUGAGUGUGAAUAGAGAUACCUGAGUUAAUACUGGAUGUUGUCCUAAACUGCUCUCCACUUCUUUCUCUGAGGGAAGGUCUCUUGCUGGACCUGGGGUUCAGGAGUCUACCUAGCCAGCUUGCUCCAGGAAUUCCCUGUCUCUGUCUCCCACAUUUUGGGACUUCUUGUGGUCUGCCCCUUCUGCCCAGAUUGUUAGGUAGUUUCUGGGAACCCGAAGCCCAGUUCCCAUGAUUGUGAGCAAGGGCUUUAUCCACUGGAUCAUUUCCCCAGCCCCUGAAGCACAUACUCAUACCUUCUGUUAAAUAAUAUUCACUAGAAAAUGGAAGCAUUUGAUGAUUAUUUUCUGGGCUAGCUGAACAUUUGUAGGUAUACGUACAGUUUUGUGGUUUUUCCCCCCUUUAAUUUGAUAUGAGGCAUGUAAGUUGAACCAGUCAUUAUCCUUCAUUACAAAAACAUGUUUCCAGCCGCAGACUGUACUGGCUUCAGUGACUUUACUAGCACUGUCAGUUUGGAGCAUGUAGGUGCUGCCAAAGGACCUUUUGAGAACAGUUCUGUCUUGGUUGUUUGCUUAUCUGCUGCCAUGGAAACAGGUAUUUAAUCAUGAAAAAAAAAAAGAAAAGAAAAUGGCCUUAUACAAAGCUGUAUUUCAAAUAAUGUUAGUGGUGGGCAGUGAUUCUUUCUUUUUAAAAAAUAUAAUUUCUAUGUGACUAACCUCGUUUUUUUGGCAACCUGAUUUGGGUUUCCAUGGAAACAAGUGACAGCUGAGGUCUCUAUGCUCUUAUAACUGGGAGGGCUCAGGUUAAGUCUUAUAAAUGUCAGCUGUCUCAAAGCACCUAGCUAGUCUCCAGGGUAAACAAAAGAACAACCCUCCAAACACUUACAAACUUAAAUAUACCAGUGCUGUGCAGCAGUAGGCAUGGGGCUGCAGAAGUAGCUGAGAGAUCUCUUUUUGAGAAAUGUCCACAAACCAGGAAAAGACACACCGGGAAUAGUGUGGACUUUUGGAACCUCAAAGCUCUCCCCACAAAGCCAGACCUAAUUCUUCCCAAACAGUUUCACCAACUGGGUACCAACCAUUCAAACAUGAGCUUAUGGGGGCAUUCUCACUCAAACCACCAAAUACUUGAAAGCUUACCUAGAAGGAACCAAAAGAGAUAUGAACAGUAAAGAAGGAAGUAUCUUUGUUUAUACAUUAUUUGAUUAUAUACAUAGUAAUCAGACCAUCCAUCCAGACCCUUGUCAAAGAAGAACAUCUAAAACAGCAAUACGUAUUCAUGAUCCGUUUUCUUCGAACACCGACUUCAUAGAAAAGAAAAGAUCUUUCCACGGAGGAUUUUAAAUCACAGCAACCCUAUUUUUUUUUUUUUUUUUUUGAUUCUGGCUAGAGAGCCUGAGGGGAAACAUACCACAGAAUACAACAUCAUUAUACUGCAGUCUCUUAUGAUCCAUCAGAAAUGAAAACGGGACCACCUGCUAGGUCUAUUAUGUAUUUAAUAUGAAUAAGAAGUAUCCCACUGCUGGUCAUUAAAAGAAAUUGUAAGCCAUCUGACAUUAUACUUAUCACCCAUGCCCUGCCUCAAGUGUGUUGGGAAACACAGAGUUUGAGGAUGGGUGCAUUAGAGUCGGUCCUUUGAUGUGAGUACAAGGCAUGUGAACCCAAAGGAAGUCAUUUAUCUGUCAAAAAACAUCUCUGAGACAGCAUUUUGUAAAAUAUAAUUAUAAAACAGUAUUAUUGGCACAAGGAAGAAUGGAAAAAAAAUUCCAGCAGCUGCAAAAGGCAUUAAGUUCGUCUUACCUGAUAUCCGCAUGGUCUGUGAACUCAUGAGAAAAAUAGAAAAUUUGGUCUGUUUAGCAAGGAUACAUUCAGGAAGUCAUGGAUCUUGCCUGACUGUUGACAUGGCUCAAUGACUAUACAAGUUUCCCUGGGCCUAACUCGAGCUACCUGAAUACAGUUAACUGGCUCGUUCAAUAGUUCCUGUGGGAUAUUUUAACCCAUGCCCUGUAAAAGUUCAAAGCUAAAUGUGGCCAUAUAUUGGGGGAAAUGUUUGUCAAAUUAGAGUUGUGGAGAGGGAUAACUGGAAACUUCCAACAUGAAUGAGACCCAGAAACAAUCUUUUGCUUGAAUGCAUUGAGCCUUGCAAACCAUCUGAGUUUCCAGAUCCUAAACAAGAGGAAGGCCAA